rnacentral:rRNA from 1 species
AAUGAACGCUGGCGGCAGGCCUAACACAUGCAAGUCGAACGGAUCCUUCGGGAUUAGUGGCGGACGGGUGGGUAACGCGUGGGAACAUACCCUUUGGUACGGAAUAGCCUCGGGAAACUGGGAGUAAUACCGUAUGUGGUCGAGAGACGAAAGAUUUAUCGCCAAAGGAUUGGCCCGCGUUGGAUUAGGUAGUUGGUGGGGUAAUGGCCUACCAAGCCGACGAUCCAUAGCUGGUUGGAGAGGAUGAUCAGCCACACUGGGACUGAGACACGGCCCAGACUCCUACGGGAGGCAGCAGUGGGGAAUCUUAGACAAUGGGGGAAACCCUGAUCUAGCCAUGCCGCGUGAUCGAUGAAGGCCUUAGGGUUGUAAAGAUCUUUCAGGUGGGAAGAUAAUGACUGUACCACCAGAAGAAGCCCCGGCUAACUCCGUGCCAGCCGCCGCAGUAAAAC